UUGUUUUAUUUCCCCCCGUUGAACCAUAGUCAUUCCCAUUACUUUCCCUCUUAGUGAAUUUCUCUCUUCAUCCCCAUCCCUAAGUACGUACCAUCGUUGUGAUACCCACCCCUGCACGGCAUGACCAGGAUCUUCAAUCCCCACCCAAGCUUGUAUUCCUCCAUUUCGUUAGCCUUCCCAGCGGAAGCUACAGUGCGUCGUCUUCUCAUCCCUUUACAAUCGGGUGCCCUGCAAUUGGGGAUUUGAAGCAUUUGAUUUUUCAACCAUUUUGAGCAAAUUGAAGGUGGAGAUUUGUGAGUCGAGACUCUUGUUUACCUUCCGUCAUCACAGGACACCAAUAUAAGAAGAAUUUGCAGCAGGUUACCCAUCCAAGGAGGAGUGGCAUGGCUAUAUAAAUAAUAACGACAUGGUGCUUCUUAAGGUCUUCACUUCAAGUUAGCUGUGGAAACAAUGUCCUGAAAGUGAAGAUGAGACUAAAAGUUGCCAACGAGAAGAAAAGUUCGUAAUUUUUCACGAUCAAAAUGGGUCAUAAACUACUCGUCACCUACAUCUGCUGGUGCUGAGUGCAUUGAUCCUGAUUGUACAUGGGUAGAACAAUGGUAAAUAUCGAUCUUUUACUCUCUUAUAGGCAGUGGUGAAAUCCUAGAGUAUGCAACUGUCUGAAAGGACUAGAAAAUUUUAAGCAUGCAUCACUAAACUACCAUGCAUAGGCAAUGCUCUAGUAUAUGUCCCAUAUACUUUAGCUCUUGCCUAUUGUUAUGAUUAAAUUUUUGUUUACCAAUAAAAAAACGCACAAUUAAUGUUGCAUUUGGAAAAAGAGGGGAUAUUUUUGUUAUAAUGUUAGAAACUAAAGUGAAUGGAGAUCCAUGAGGGUUUUCCACCUAGAGAUAAAAUGAGAUAUUUUGGUGUGGAAAUAUGGAAGUAGUGAUGGUGGUUGAUGCUAGUAGGUUUAUGCCUCUCACAAUUUGGGUGUUUGCAAAAUGAAAAGCCACUAUGAGAAGGAUGAGCGAUCUUGUGAUAGGGAGGUUUUGAGUGGUAUCAGGUUUAGGGUAGAAUUUCAAGAGGGUUACUUUUUAUUUUCUUGGUGACUCAUGGAGUAGUAACAUGUCAUUGCUCUGAAGAGGCAAUUGUGAAGGACUAACAUGGGCUGGAAAGGUGUGCAAAUGGUACAAAUUUGCACUCGAUCAUUCUAGGAUUUGGGAAGUAGAGUUCCAUGAGGAUUUUCAAGAAAAGAAAGGAGAAGUUUCUUAACUAGUUGAUUUUGUUUUACAAGGAAAUGUACUUGUACAAGGAAAUUUACUCUUUACACUUGUGGAGAUAUGUGGAAUCCAUAAAGUAUGUUCUGAUGAAUGGCAAUUUACCUACCAAAGUCUUUCCAACCAAGAUUCCCCAAUCUACUCAUGGGACUCAAAAGAAAGUCCAUCUGCAGUAGGCCUUCAACUAAAUUCCUCAGUAUACAUAUUCUUGAAGCAAUUCAGCUUUAUCAUGGCUGAAAAGAAGUGCGACUUCAACAUUUUCCCCAUAUCUUAACAGUAAAAUAGUUUUCCAUUAAUUAUAUAUGUAUCUAUGUCCAAACAGGAUAGGAGGAAACCUAGUCUACAAAUUUACCACAUGUUCCUUGAGCAUGUGAGAAUCUUGGUUGGAAACCUAGUAUUAACUUGUUGGUUUGCACCUUUUCACCUUUUUCUUAUCAUCCAACACCUGUACUUCCAUUGCUUUUCAAUCUUUUUUCCCCUUUUAUCAAACUUCCCAGUAAUAAGAUAUUAUUUUUUUCCUUGGCAAUAUACAAAUAUUGUGGGAGCAAAAAGAGCAGCAAUACAGAGUAUGCAUUUGAUGGGGAAAGAAUCUUGCUAUGUUUUUUUUGCCCAUCAGUUGGGGCUUUAUUGUUGUAUUUCAAGUGUAUGACUAGUUGCAACAUGCAAGCAGCAUACAUGUGUAUAAUGCAGUGGCUUCGGAAUUAGCAUCUAAGUAUGAUAAGUUGGUUGAGUGUAAAUUCCACUAACACACAUGAUAAAUUGCUUUUGGUUCAUUGAUCUGUGAUAAAUUUAUAUUCUUCUCACAGGAUUAGUCAGUAGUUUUAACAUCAGUUCUAAGAGCAGGGUAGCUGCUUGUACCUGCUUUCUGGUUUGGGUGCAAGUGCUAACAUUAUUGUGUUGACUUCUACCCUUUCAGUAAAUGAUAUAUUUAUGUGCUGUAUGGGCAAAUUAAGGACCGAAGAAGUAGAUCUGUGUGUUUUAUUGUGGUUGCUUCCUUAAACGUAGUUUUCUUGAAUAUCUUCAAAGAAAUGCCCCAUCUAUGAUUUGACUUGAAUGCCUAUACAGCUGGAAGGAGAGGCAACUGUUCGAGCAAUUUGUUUGGCAGGUUUUGUUAAUACUCCUCUCUAUGUAGUUCAUGUAAUGAGCAUUGAUGCUGUAGAAGAAAUAGCUAGAACUCGAAAAAAUGGUCUUGAACUCUCUAAUCUUUUAAAUCUGUUUAAUUUGUGCUUUGAUUGAGUGUCAUGUUAUCUAUUACCUGUGUAAUCUUAAGCAUCUUUUUUGUAUUCUAUUAAGCCACCUUAUCAUUUUAUUUUAUUUUUCAGUUUACUUUAUUGACCGACAUUUCAUUGUAUUGUCUUUAUUGCCACAAUAAAACCACUCAAUUUGUAGACAUUAUUUUUAAAAAAAGGUUUAGUUUCCUACCAUUUUGUGAUUGUGCGAUUUGAACCCUAGAACCAUCUUGUUCAUCUUGGUUGAUUGAAUCUCUGUAGUGUCGUCUCCAGUAAUUCUCUUCACGCUGGUAAGCUUUUUCUCAACCUUCCAACUCUCUGAUCUCACCCUCCUUAUUUUGGUUUACUUAAGAGCACAUAGACUGUACCCUCUCUAUUUUUAUCUUGUUUGUGUGGAUUUAAGACAUUUUCUCUCAUGCACCUUACAACACUAAAUUUUUACAUGUGCAUCACAUAAUUAAUUUAUUCUUUUUAAACAAAGAUAACAUUCAUCCAGAACUCUGUAAAAUCUGCUACGUUUGCUCCCACUUCUGCAACUUACUACUUGUAAUUGCCCAAAUAUUGAUGACAGCUAUAUAUUUCCAUAGUACAUGUAUUAUUGUCUCUUCUUCUCAGCUAGAGAUUGGACAGUAAGGGUUUUUACUAACAUUUUUCUUCAAAUGUUACUUCAGUUGAUAAUGAUUCAUUAUUUGCCCUCCAUAGGAAAUGUUUUAUGACAUUUGGGUUACUUUAAUCUCCUUAUCUUCGCCCACCUCUCUUCAAUCUUUCCUUUGAUUUUCUAGCAUUCUUCCUUUGCUUCCUUUUCCUCUCUUUAGCCAAUUAAUAAGCACUCCCAAUUUAGAACUCCCUAGUCUCACUGCAAUUCCAGAUUAACUUAUCUCCUUCCCCACCUAUGCUAAUAGGUAAACUACAUAUCAAUAAAGCCUCCUCAUUACUGACAUGCUCCUUCACUACAUCUCCCUUCUUCCAUACCCUUAAAUCUUCUACAAUAAGCUCACUAACUCUUGCAUCUGCUCCUAGUGACGUGACUGGAGAUUGCACACUGGAUAUGAAGUUUACAUAUCCAGCAUCCAGAAAUAAUAAUUUGUUAAUGAAAUAAUUAGACUCAAAAGGGUUUGAUUUCUCUGGAGUUUUGGCUGUUUCUGUUUGUACCGGGGAUGAAUAAUUUCUCUUAAAGGACUUGAGCUUGUUCUGAAAUUCAUUUUUUGAUUUAAAGAUUUCUUUUAUUUGGCACUUGAUAUAUACUCUUGUUGAUCACUUUCUUUCAAGGUUUUGGCACUUUCAUGUCACUUUGUUUCUCUAAGUAUAUGUCAUAACAAACCUUCAAUCUUUACUUAUAUAUCAACGAUGUUUUAUAGCUGUAUAUGUAUGACAUAUGUAUAUAGCUACUAGAAUUUAGUAGUUGAAUGGUAUUGAUCCAUGUUUGGAAGCUGUAUGGAGAACCCAUUUUAUGCAGUAGGGUUAUCUGGGCAAGAUUUGUGAGUCUAGUUUCUAUAUUAGUUUCUAUAAUUUUCAUUGCUUCUUUGUAUUUUGAUUCAUCUUUCUUUCUACCACCCUAAAUAUAUUUAACAAAGCUUUAUAGUAUUUUGCUUAUUUCUAUUGUGUUUAUGGUGUUUACAACACCAAUCUAUCAUCUUUAAUGGAGUUGACAGUGGGGUAUCAUUCCAAAGGUUGAACCUUGCUAGUGUGAUAAAGUACAAAAAAAUCUAGCCCAUUUGGGCAAUUGACAUGUGAUUAUUUUUUAUAUGAAUAUCCUGCAACUGCUCACAAGAGAAGCACCACAAGUGUUGGUUCCAUUUGGCUCCUUUUAUCUGAACUCCUGAUUUUUCACAAGCUGAAGAAGCACAUAAGGCACAUCCAUUUAUAUAUAUUACUGUUGGACACACACACACACACAGAGAGAAUGAAGGGAUAUUAAAGAAGUAGGGACAAAAGAAGGGGCUACAACAGACAAAAAGGGGAUAUACCUCAAUAAUCUUUGUUUUUUUAAUCAAUAUACUUCAAUAAUGUUCCUGGGAAUAACCCAAUGAACCCCAAACAACGUAAAUAUAAAGAGCAUAACAGUCUUGCAAUACAGAAUAAAAAAAAGAGUAUUGAAAGAAUACGCUAAGUCGCUUUUGCCAGUGUUGCUAUACUACAUUUAGACUCUGUUUUGAUUUUUGGCCCCUCAUCUUCUUCCUCAUCAUCCUCAUUGAAAGAAUACUCUACAUCCUUCACAGCUUUGGAACUUGAUAGAGUAACAAUCUCUGGGACCUCUUCACCAACAAUAACUGUAUCAGCUAGCAACACCUAGAAUUUCUGAGUUUUUGGGUUGUUGGUCUCAGCCUGCAAGUUAUGGAAUAAUGGUGACAUGUUAACUACUAUGCAUUGGUUUCAGUAUUCGAUCAUUCUUAGCAUUAAGACUAAGACCCGACUCAUGAAACUCGAGGCGAAUUCUAGUCCUUGCAGUUUUAGAAUCUUGCUUGCAGCCAAUUUGAGGGCAUCCUUCUCAACUACUGAGAGAGCAGCAAGAUAUGCACAUAUAAUCACACUAUUCGAAUCAUAGUAAAGGUUCUCAUGGUUGCUUGAAACACUCAGUUUCAGAUCAAAAUCUCUUCCGCUUUGAAAAAUUAGAGGGUAACAAAUAUCAACAUUCUUUGCAUUCAGCUUGACCUUAAUUCUUGUUGGUUCCAAUAUGGCCUUCUCUGUGUCAUUCAUUAAUGAAGCAUGUGAAACCUUCUUUUCCUCAUCAAUAAUCUUUGAAGUUUUGCAACUACAAAACUCCUAAUCACUAAUGAAGUUAAGAUUGCAGCUUUCUUUACAUUUGUUAACUCAACAUUAUCUUUCAAAUUAUUUAUUGAUCAUCAUUACAUUUGUUGCUAAAACUAAAAGUAUUCAAUGCAGGUGGUAAAAGAUAUGGAAAUUCUACAUAUCAUUAUAAAUGGUUUAAUUAUAUAGAGAGUUAGUGAUGAAGGGUCAGGUUAUUAGUCAAAUCAAUGUUGUUACUUGAACUACAAAUAUAUAUGGCUUAUAUAGAGGACGGUUUAAGUUUGUUCAAUGUUGUUAUAACAGUGAUUUGAUACAGCCUAUCUAAACUCCAAGAGUACUUUUUGAUCUAAAGAGAUACAUAUCAUCUUAGUACUAGCAGUACUACUUGGAUAUAGAUAAUCAAUAUAUGUUCUCCUAUCAUUUUACAGAGUUACAAUAGUUAGUGCCUACACUUCACAAUCUCCAAAUCGACAAUACUGUUGGAUUUCAAGUGUCUAUAUAUUACUGAUUGCAGGUUUGGUUGUAGAUAUGCAUGCAUGUUCUUAAAGAUUAUCUAAGAGUUUAUCAUGAUCAAUAUUCAGCAGCCUUACUAGAAAUGGGGUAACUUUAGUAGUGAUUGUUUUUGUUUUAGCAUAGAGAAAAUGCAAGUGAAACUGUUUAGACAAAUUGUUUUUUACUAGAGUUGAUGAUGCUCCCACUGUAACAGGAAGAGGCUACUGUUUAGACACUCUCUUUGUAUUGACAUUAUGCAAUCUUUGAAUAAUCCCUAUAGGAAAAAUUAAUUUAUUGUGGUGCAUUUUUUUCUCUUUCAUACAGAUUUUUUUUCUUGUGAAGAGGUGUUGCCUAGUGCGUGGACAAAAAACUACUCCAGUAAGGAGAUAGAUAGGCCUCUUGGGUUGGGGGCUUUUCCUAGGAAUGGCAAAUGGUUAGAUGAAAGUAAAAACAACAUUUCUCUCUGGUUGAAGCUGUUCUACCCAAGCCACAAUGCCCAGGUGCACAUUGUUAUAGAUGACAUAUAAUUUUAGUCCAUAGAGGAGCAGGACAGUUGAAAAAUUUGAAUGAAUGUGGACAUUUUUAAUUAAUGUUUAGAAGCAAGAAAUGUGUUCUAUACAUUUAGUAGUUUGUAAGUUAUAGGUUUUGGAUUCAAAUUGGUCCACCCCAAUGUAUAUAGCCCAUAACUACAUUAAUGUGAAUUUUCCACUGGGUUUAUAUGAAUGAAUGUGUUUGAUUUAUUAUAUUA